GUGGGGAAUAUUGGACAAUGGGCGAAAGCCUGAUCCAGCCAUGCCGCGUGUGUGAAGAAGGUCUUCGGAUUGUAAAGCACUUUAAGUUGGGAGGAAGGGCAGUAAGUUAAUACCUUGCUGUUUUGACGUUACCGACAGAAUAAGCACCGGCUAACUUCGUGCCAGCAGCCGCGGUAAUACGAAGGGUGCAAGCGUUAAUCGGAAUUACUGAGCGUAAAGCGCGCGUAGGUGGUUUUGUAAGUUGGAGGUGAAAUCCCCGGGCUCAACCUGGGAACUGCCUCGAAAACUGCAUGACUAGAGUACGGUAGAGGGUAGUGGAAUUUCCUGUGUAGCGGUGAAAUGCGUAGAUAUAGGAAGGAACACCAGUGGCGAAGGCGACUACCUGGACUGAUACUGACACUGAGGUGCGAAAGCGUGGGGAGCAAACAGGAUUAGAUACCCGUGUAGUCC
rnacentral:rRNA from 1 species